AACUCCAUCUGCUCCUCCUCCACACGCGACAAUGUGAGAGUAGGGGGACCCUUAUCUCAGAUCAGGAGAUAUACUAGUCUCUGAGUAUGUCGAGCCACAGGGGGCGCGGGGGAGCCUGAGGGGCUCUGAAGGCUUGGCAAAGUUGGGCUUGUGCGUGUGCGCGCCAGCCAUGAGCUAGCUGGCAGCCACUGUGGUUCCCCUCACACUUCCCCGGGGGAGAUUUCCCCGAGAAGGCGGGCGCCGGCUUCGGCCUGGGAUAGACCUGCGGCGGCAGGAACGGCCACGCACAGCUGCGUUCUUAACUGUGCUGUACAACUUGUUCUACUCCACUGAGAGUUCACUGACAUAGAUGGAAGAUUACUGAAUAUUCACUAGUGAGAAAUGAACCAUACAGUGUCUUCUCUGAAGACUCAAAACCUGGUUGCUGACAUUCUAGAGCUGACUACAAAGUGGAGGAUGGGAGGUCUCAACACUCAGUA